AGGCCUAACACAUGCAAGUCGAGGGGUAACAGUGGUGCUUGCACCAGCUGACGACCGGCGCACGGGUGCGUAACGCGUAUGCAACCUUCCUUGUACAGAGAGAUAGCCCAUGGAAACGUGGAUUAAUAUCUCAUAGUAUCACAAUUUCGCAUGUUAUUGUGAUUAAAGUUUCGGCGGUACAAGAUGGGCAUGCGUAUGAUUAGGUAGUUGGUGAGGUAAAGGCUCACCAAGCCGACGAUCAUUAGGGGUUCUGAGAGGAUUAUCCCCCACACUGGUACUGAGACACGGACCAGACUCCUACGGGAGGCAGCAGUGAGGAAUAUUGGUCAAUGGGCGCAAGCCUGAACCAGCCAUCCCGCGUGCAGGAUGACGGCCCUAUGGGUUGUAAACUGCUUUUGUUUGCCAAGAAAGGACGCUACGUGUAGCGUAUUGACGGUAGCAAAUGAAUAAGGACC
rnacentral:rRNA from 1 species